UCAGGAAAGUNUGGAGUAAAAGGCUGUGGCUCAACCAUAGUGUGNUCUGGAAACUGUCUGACUUGAGUGCAGAAGGGGAGAGUGGAAUUCCAUGUGUAGCGGUGAAAUGCGUAGAUAUAUGGAGGAACACCAGUGGCGAAAGCGGCUCUCUGGUCUGUCACUGACGCUGAGGCUCGAAAGCGUGGGUAGCGAACAGGAUUAGAUACCCUGGUAGUNCACGCCGUAAACGAUGAGUGCUAGGUGUUAGGCCCUUUCCGGGGCUUAGUGCCGGAGCUAACGCAAUAAGCACUCCGCCUGGGGAGUACGACCGCAAGGUUGAAACUCAAAGGAAUUGACGGGGGCCCGCACAAGCGGUGGAGCAUGUGGUUUAAUUCGAAGCAACGCGAAGAACCUUACCAGGUCUUGACAUCCCGAUGCUAUUCUUAGAGAUAGGAAGUUACUUCGGUACAUCGGAGACAGGUGGUGCAUGGUUGUCGUCAGCUCGCGUCGUGAGAUGUUGGGUUAAGUCCCGCAACGAGCGCAACCCUUAUUGUUAGUUGCCAUCAUUAAGUUGGGCACUCUAGCGAGACUGCCGGUAAUAAACCGGAGGAAGGUGGGGAUGACGUCAAAUCAUCAUGCCCCUUAUGACCUGGGCUACACACGUGCUACAAUGGUCGGUACAACGAGUUGCGAGCCGGUGACGGCAAGCUAAUCUCUGAAAGCCGAUCUCAGUUCGGAUUGGAGGCUGCAACUCGCCUCCAUGAAGUCGGAAUCGCUAGUAAUCGCGGAUCAGCACGCCGCGGUGAAUACGUUCCCGGGCCUUGUACACACCGCCCGUCACACCACGAGAGUUUGUAACACCCGAAGUCGGUGAGGUAACCUUUU
rnacentral:rRNA from 1 species